AAGAUUGUCAAAUCGUCGGGAGAGUUUGAUGUUGUAUGUGGCCGCAGCUAACGGAAUCUAUUACAGGCGCUGGUGGACGACUUCUUAACAGUGAGAAACGUUACCGGCAACAACCGGCUCCUGCGGCGGUUGUUCUUGUAGAACUGAUAACGGUUGUUGUUGCGGGGAGCUACGCAGUUUCCACCGUUGCUGAAGGCGAUUCCAUAUUUACAUACCAAAUGUUAGGAAUGUCCACGAUCCUAACCCGGGUACGGGAGCUCCAUUAACCUAGACAACAGAGAAACUGGCGUAAGCGACAAAAUGCUGUGGGACGCUUCCGAUGCAUGCUGGAGAAACCUGAACUAUGAUGAUCAUCACACCGAAAGAUUGUCGCGGCCUGCGGUGAUGAGCCAGUAAGGCUCGAGGGUCAAAUCGGCCAGUCCAUCCAAGACCAGAAACGGCUAUUUCGACCAAGCUAAAGGAACCUACGGCUGGAUAACUCGCUGCAAUCGGAUAGGUCCACUGGUCUACGAGCUGAGGAGGAGGACACAAAGCCGGACCAGGAGGCUAACCGCCCUUGAACGGAGGAAGUCAGUCAGCAACAAUUGGAUUUUGACGAAAGGACCAGGUGAACUCGGAGAACAUCGGUGCCUUACAAAAGCGUAAGCGGAAGCCGAUCUUUCUGCUGCAAAAUGGACCAAGGAUUGACCAAGACGUAUCAUGGAAAACUGUGCCACUCCCGUCACUGUCAGUCAGUCCGAGUGCCUGUCACGUUGAGAUCCUAUUUUGUAUGAAAAUAUAAUUUGAAAAAACAAGGCAAAUAAAAUCAAUGCUUUGUGCUCAAAAAUUAAACUUUUUUGCCAAAAAAAAAUCGAAUAAAACAUUUAAUAAAGUAGUAUUCCUGAAGAACCGCAUU